GUGUGUGUUUUGUGUGCUUGUAUUGGUGCUGGCAGGAAUCGGUUGGAAUCGUUAUCAAUUCAGCGAUGCUGCUGCAGUCGUGAUUUGUGCCGGCACAGUUGAGACUGUAAAUCAGAGCCCGAGUGACACAGUGUAGAAAGAGUGGUUGAAGGAAUUCAAGCUGAUCGUGUCACGAGAGAUCCUAUCCUAGCAGAUCAGCAUCAGAUCAGCGGAUGAUAAGAAUUCUUUACUAAGUACUAGUGCCGCAGGAGAGAUUUGAACCCCUGCUGCCCAAGUGCUUAUCGAAGAGUUCCACUCGUACAUCGAACGAAGUCAGCAAGGAAGCUGCUGGAACUGUGAGCUGCGCAAAGGGAUAAGGAAAAGAAGACUGAUCAACGGAUGAUGAUGACGUUGGAGGAGAUAGGUUGCCACGUGGUUGGUUGAGUCGCAACGUUAUAAGUGAGACAAAGCGAAACAAAUGUUAACUGAAAAACUGUUUAACUGCUGCUGCUCUUUUAACCCUAAAAAUUUAUGAUUUCAUUACCCUCAGUUAAAAAGAGAUGCUGACGUCCGUUGAUUGCGCCAAGAAAGCGAGUAAUUGAGACAAAUAUAACCGGGUACCCUGCCCGACAGAGAGGAGUUAUGACCAAACCCAUGAUGUUGAUGACGAUGAUGGCGAGGACGUGGCACCCGAGGACUCUAGGUGGCUCGUUCAAUAUCCCUCCGCAACUCCGAAAAUAUCUUGACAGAGGUAAGAGAAAAAAAUUAAACCUUGCCACACAUAAUCUAUGACUCUUGAAGCAAAUCACGGU